UGCGUAGGUGGCAUGGUAAGUCAGAAGUGAAAACUAGGGGCUCAACCCCUAGACUGCUUUUUGAAACUAUCAGGCUAGAGUACAGGAGAGGCAAGUGGAAUUCCUAGUGUAGCGGUGAAAUGCGUAGAUAUUAGGAGGAACACCAGUGGCGAAGGCGGCUUGCUGGACUGUAACUGACACUGAGGCACGAAAGUGUGGGGAGCAAACA
rnacentral:rRNA from 1 species